CUAUUUCCAAGGCUCUAAUCUCAUGCAGUUCAGCUGAAAAAACAUCAGCCUUCUGCGGAUCUUUCUAUAUAGGCAACCAUGUAAAUGACUCAAUGGUGUGUUGGAAGAAACUCAGUGUGCUGGUUUUCCAGCAUGUUUGGAAGCUCUCUAGUGUGGUGUCAGUGCCUCCUGGCACCCAGCAACUCUGCCUGCGAGAAGGAAGCGUGACCCCCUGAAUGUGCAGAACUAAGGGGUAAAGAGCAGGGCAGCAGCCCAAACUGCUAAUUUGGGUUUCCUUAAGAAAACGGUGGAGUUAGAUUUCCUUGCUAAUUGCAGUUCAGUAGAUCAUUUCUGGAAAACAAUGUGUUUCAACGUGGUAGUCUGAUUAAAAAAGGAAGUGGGGCUUUCCCACUGCUGACUUACAAGAGGAGUUAAGCAGUGCAGGUCACUUCUUGCUGUGUAAGGCCAGGCAGGUUGCAGGCAGACUGGGUGGAAGUGGAGGUGACUGUCCCCACCCUGGACUGCUUGAGCAUCCUGUCAGGACUCACGGAAAAGAUGUGCAACUGUGGGCCUGAUGGAGCACUGUGACCUGUGCUCCACUGGGGAGGAAGAGGGAAGCAUGCACUCUCAGCUAUUGCAUUGACGUUAAGCUUGAUUUAUAUCAAGCAGCUGGGGAUUUCUGCUAACUGAUUUUUACUUAGGGUGACAUACUGGCACAGUUCUGCUUUCCUUACUGGCAGCACAGAAGAAGAUUAAAAAGUAACUCCAAAGUCUUCUUUGUAUUGUUUGUUUCCUUGCUGCACUCACCAACAGGGAGCCGGUGCUCUUUGUGUCCUGCAGGCAAUGCCAAGAAAACGCACCAAGCUUUGAUGGACACAUUGCAGAGUAUUUUCUCGGACACCUCAGAAGAUAUAGCAGUGAGAAAUGCCUGGAUGUGAGAGAAACUUGGCAUAUUUUCAUGUCUGCCUUGAAUAACCCAUCCUGCUGGGUUGCUCGCCUUUUGCCUACAAGUGGGUGUAGCUCACUGUGGUUUUGCAUGAGCGGUCAUGCAGGAAGAGGUGAGACCCACCAAACCACAGUUUGCCUCGCUCCCUGUGAGCAAUGCUGUUGAUAUAACGACCCAGCUCAGACAGGGAAGGAUUUCUAGUGGCUGCCACUGAUUUCCUACAGGAGGGCACUGUGGAAGGAAGGAGAGGUGGUACGCAUGGGGAAAGAUCAAAGUGCUUUCAGAGAUCUGCAGUAGUAUCGCAUUCUUCUUUCGAUUACGUGAGUGCAGCUGAAGACCUGGAGCAGCAGUGAUGAGGUGCAUGCACUGCAGCUACUCCCUUCCCUAUUCUCAUAGGAAGCUCCUGCGUUGAGGGAAGAAGUUCCCGGAGCUUUCUGUGCUGGUGAAAGAGGCAGCUGUGCUAAUUCUGAUACCGAGUAUUCUCUUACAAACUGAGAUGCUGCAAAACUCCUCAGAAGAGCAGAAAAGGAAGACUUACACCUCUGUCUGACACAGUUAAAAUCUCUCCCUGUGCACUUAUCAGCUUGCAUAUCUCUGUGAAACUCUGUGCUUCAGCGAGGGCUACAUCACUAGGCAACUACUGCAAAGAAACAUGAGUUCUACAGGAUUUCAGGGAAGAAUUCUUCCUCUACUUUUGUUCACUUCUGAGUUUGCUUCUUGGCACCCUCUUCCUUAAUGUGAGGUCAGCCAGAGUACUUUCACAGUUUUUCCUGUCUGUUUUGUCAUUUGUUUCUGUUUCGCAGGCUUACAGCUCCGAAGUUUUUCCAAGAGAGAAGAGAAACCAAACUGGAAGAUGAGAGCAUUGCACAGGCACCAAAUGCUGUUUCUGUUCAACCUUUGUUUCAUCGAGAAAAGUGGGUGUCUAAAAUCAAAGCACGCAUUACUUCCCAUCACUUGUAAUCUGAGACUAGUGUUUUAGUGGAGUCUGCUGCCAGACUACAGAGAAAAGGAAACUUAGUGGAUCACCAGGUUUUUCAGCCUCUGAGAAAGAUAACCAACCAAGCACCAAGAGACAGGAUAGAAGCAUGAAGGUGGUAAUUAACCACAUAGCUGAUUUUGGACUGUUACUAUGCUACCAGAAAAACAUGCUGGGAGAAGCCAUCAUCCACCGUGAAUGAGUUUUCUUGUAUAAGGAAUCCACUUGUUUAUGAGACUCACUUUAAACAAUAACAGAAUCACAAAAUCACAGAGUUGUAGGAGUUGGAAAGGACCUCUAGAAAUCAUCGAGUCCAACCUCUUCUGCUAAAGGAGUUCCCUGCAGCAGGUCACACAGGAAAGUGUCCAGGUUGGUUUUGAAUAUCUCCAGAGGAGACUCCACAACAUCUCUGGGCAGCCUGCUCCAAUGCUCUGCCACCCUCACAAUAAAGAAGUUCUUCCUCAUGUACGUAUGGAACUUCCUGUGUUCCAGUUUGUGCCUAUUUCUGUUGUCCUGUCACUGGGCUCUGCUGAAAGAGUCUGGCCACAUCCACUUGACUCCUGCCCUUUAGAUAUUUAUCAACAAUGAUGAGAUCCCUCUCAGUCUUCUCCAGAGGGAAUAGUCUCUCAGCCUUUCUUCAUAAGGGAGAUGCUCCAGGCCCCUAAUACUCUUUCUGGCCUUUCACUGGACUCUCUCAAGAAGAUCCUGUCUUUCUUGAGUGAGGAGCCCAGAACUGGAUGCAUACAGAGUGGCCUCACUGGGGCAAAGUAGCUGGGGAGGACCUCUUCCCUCAACCUGUUGUCCACACUUUUCAAUGAAACCCAACUUUUAGAGUCCAACUGGUCCCAGUAUUGUUCUGGUAAUGAGGAAGAGCUCCAGAGUGAAAAUGUUGGACUCUGAUUAUGCUUUGCUGUCAUUCAGCAGCACUCAUCCUUCCACCUCUGUCUUGAACAACUGUGUGACUGGUCUUUCCUUGCAGUAAUGAACUAGACAGUGUAUAACCAAGUAGUUAGCAAUACAGAUUUUGUUCUCAGAGUUUCUUUGAACUUUAGUUUCAACUAGACAAUCCCUGGCACCAAAUCCAAGAAAAGAAAAACAUGAGAAAAAUCGUGAUGUGUGGGGAUUGGUUAUAUAUUCAUAAAGCCACUAAUCAGUUUCUUUUCUCUCUCAUUUUUGUUAGGCUUUCUUUGUCUACUUUCAGGUCUUAUCUCCAUAUGAACACUGAUAGCAGAUAAAUCAAGACAACAGCUUCCUUCAUUUUUAGGAGUUUUGUUAAAAUUGACUUUCUCCCUCUGACAUGAAUAUCAGUUUAUAUCUCAAUCAAAUCUGGAAUUGUAGUUUAGAGAGAAAAUACAUAAAAUAUGUGUAGAAGAUUUUCCUAUGUCAUCCUUCUCACAGACACUUUCUGUUACUUUUAGAUUUAUUUCAGAUUAUUGUUUACUACGCAAUCAUUAAUAAUUUACAGAAGUAAAGGCUUUUGUUUGGUAGUGAUUUGUUAUAACUGGAAUAAUGAAAAUAAUUAUAUGUAUCUUAUCUCCAGUUCUUCAGUUUUGUAAAGUUCUGCUAAACUCAAGUGUUCAAGCUGUAAUAUAUCUCUUUUACUUUGGGUCUUACCAUUGAAUGACCUGACCUUUUAAUAAAGAUUUUUGUUUCCUAUGGUGCUUGAUUUCUUUGGCUAAGUAAUAAAAAGUGUGUGACACUUAAGAGCUUCCUACUUCCCUACUCUCUCUUAUAGUAGAGUGCUUAUGUAAUGAAGAGUGAUUGCUUGCAAGUCCAGAGAAAGAAAUCCUAAGCAUAUCUGUAUCUUCCAGUUGAUGGGUAUUAAAAAAAAAAAAAAAUACCCAAACUGCCUGUCAGCCUUGGGAAGAUAAAGAGGACAGAGCAGUGUGAAUGAAUUCAUCAGCAACAAAUGACAGCAAACUUGUCUGAUUUCCCUCUGUGACCAAGUAACAGACAUUAUGAAGAGUCAAGCAGCCGUAUCUAUCUGUCUGUCUGUGGUAUAUCUUGACUUCUGUGGUAUUUUUGAGGCUGCCUUUGACAAUUGUUACCUAGAUGUAUUUUGAUAACAUGCUAUAGUUGAAUGCACAGUAGUUGCAAAAUUCUAAAUAAUUA
rnacentral:lncRNA from 1 species